AUGGUAACAAGGCUCAGACAUCCAAGGAAGGAAUUAGCAGCAUUAGCUCUCAAGCCUGGCUGGGCGAAAGCUCUUAGGCGGCAACUGCGAAUGUUUUGA
rnacentral:rRNA from 1 species